rnacentral:rRNA from 1 species
CCGGCGAUGUUUCAUUCAAAUUUCUGCCCUAUCAACUUUCGACGGUAGGGUAGUGGCCUACCGUGGUGGUAACGGGUGACGGAGGAUUAGGGUUCGAUUCCGGAGAGGGAGCCUGAGAAACGGCUACCACAUCCAAGGAAGGCAGCAGGCGCGCAAAUUACCCAAAUCCCAACUCGGGGAGGUAGUGACAAGAAAUAACGAUGCUCCGGCCAUCGGUCGGGUAAUCGGAAUGAGAACAAUUUAAAUCCCUUAUCGAGGAUCAAUUGGAGGGCAAGUCUGGUGCCAGCAGCCGCGGUAAUUCCAGCUCCAAUAGCGUAUAUUUAAGUUGCUGCGGUUAAAAAGCUCGUAGUCGGAUUUCGGGUGGCGCCUACCGGUCCGCCUUUGGUGAGUACUGGUAGGUACCACCUUUCUGCCGAGGACGGGGUGCUGGGCUUAGUUGUCUGGGCCUCGGAGUCGGCGAUGUCACUUUGAGUAAAUUAGGGUGUUCAAAGCAGGCUUAUGCUCUGUAUACACUAGCAUGGGAUGACACGAUAGGACUUCGGUUUAUCUUGUCGGUCUGUAGAUCGGAGUAAUGAUUAAGAGGGACAGUCGGGGGCAUUCGUAUUUCGUAGUCAGAGGUGAAAUUCUUGGAUUUACGGAAGACGAACUUCUGCGAAAGCAUUUGCCAAGGAUGUUUUCAUUGAUCAAGAACGAAAGUCGGGGGCUCGAAGACGAUUAGAUACCGUCGUAGUCUCGACCAUAAACGAUGCCGAC